AAAAAUUGAAGUUCAGGAGCUCAUCUUGGCAGCCUUCAUAGCUGCGCUUCAAAGGCAACUGGGUCAUGUGAAGCAGACAAGGCAGUUUCAUUAGGCAACAGCAGAUGGCCAGCUGGAAAUGUUUAAGGGCAUUUCCCCUCAUAUUAUCUGCCCAAGGCUGGGGCAAAGAGCCACCUGAUGUGGAGAAGAGAGCAACUGAUGAGAGAAUCUUGAAAAUACCUGGGUCUUGCCAGCUGCCAGUGGAAAGGAUGGUUGUGAAAGUCUGGUUGCAUCACUCGACUCUUGGAAGAGCGUUCUGAAUCCUGUGCUUUGCUGGAAAGCACUUGUCCCUCCGUUGACUAGGAUGAUGCCUUUCUCUAUAGACAACCUAUUUGGGAGACUUUGAAGACUGGGGUCCUUCGCAAUACUUCACUUCUCCAUGGAGAAUGACUUUCAGGUUCCUUCUUUUGCUGCUGUCGCUUCCAGCCACCUGCUCAGCCACACCUAUGAAAGGAACCCACUGGAUGAGGAAAU